GAUCGGCUCAGGAUGAACGCUGGCGGCAUGCCUAAUACAUGCAAGUCGAACGAGAGGAAGGAAAGCUUGCUUUUCUGAAUCUAGUGGCGAACGGGUGAGUAACACGUAGGUAACCUGCCCAUGUGCCCGGGAUAACUUUUGGAAACGGAUGCUAAAACCGGAUAGGUAGCAGACAAGCAUUUGACUGCUAUUAAAGUGGCCUUGGCCAUGAACAUGGAUGGACCUGCGGUGCAUUAG
rnacentral:rRNA from 1 species